GUGCUCACUUUGGCAGCACAUAUACUAAAAUCAGAACAAUACCGAGAAGGUUAUCAUAGCCUCUGCACAAGGAUGACACACAAAUUUGUGAAUUAUGUCAUAUUUUU
ensembl:snRNA U6 U6 spliceosomal RNA